CAAUGAUUGAGUCAGUCACGUAUGGCCAAUGAUUGAGUCAGUCACGUGUAUGUAAUAAGGCCUCCAUAAAAACCGAAGAGGAUGGGGUUUGCAGAGCUUCUAGGCUGGUGAGCACUUGGAUGUGCUGGAGGCAUCCAGAGGGUGGAGCACGUGGAGAGGGCAUGAAUGCUCCGUGCACCUUCCCUCAUACCUUGCCUUAUACAGCGUUUCCAUCUGGCUGCUGUUGAGUUUUAUUCUUUAUAACAAUAUGCUAAACCUAAGCAAAGUUUUCCUGAGUUCUGUGAGCCAUUCUAGCAAAUGGUGGAACCUGAGAAAGGGGACAUGGGAAUCUCUGACUUACAGCCAGUCAGUCCGAAGCACAGGAUACCAAAAUCAUCAUACCAGAGACAUGAAUCUCCCUCAUUUGGCAUCCCAGGAGGCCUGGAUCAGUUUCACUGUGAAUGCUCUGCUGCUCAACCACACAAGCACCCUUCCUCCAGGCCCAGGGGAUACUGCAGAAGAGGCUGAAGGUUGCACUAUUGGCUUCCCUACUUUUGAGGUUUUGGGACUCCGACUGGCUUCCUGGCUCCUCACCUUGCAGAUGGUCUAUUGUGGGACCUCAUCUUGUGAUCAUGUCUCAGUAUGUUGCUCAGACUGGUCUUGAACUCCUGGCCUCAAGUGAUCCUCCCGCCUCAGCCUCUUGAGUAGCUGGGACUACAGUUGCAAGCCAUCCUGUCUGGCUAGUUAUCUUUAAUUAAUGACAUUUGUUAAAGUAACACAAAAAUCCUAGAAACAUUUGCCUGUUGAAACUUUCUGAUAAUUUGAAUGAAGUAAAGUUUGGAGUCUCUGUCUCACUGAAAAUACUCAAGGUUAAUAUAAUAAAAACAGCAAAGCAGUAA
rnacentral:antisense_RNA from 1 species